rnacentral:rRNA from 1 species
UGGGGAAUUUUCCGCAAUGGGCGAAGGCCUGACGGAGCAAUACCGCGUGAGGGAGGAAGGCUUUUGGGUUGUAAACCUCUUUUCUUAGGGAAGAAGAAAGUGACGGUACCUAAGGAAUCAGCAUCGGCUAACUCCGUGCCAGCAGCCGCGGUAAUACGGAGGGCGCUAGCGUUGUUCGGAAUCACUGGGCGUAAAGGGCGCGUAGGCGGCUGUUUAAGUCGGGGGUGAAAGCCCGGGGCUCAACCUCGGAACGGCCUUCGAGACUGGGCAGCUGGUGACCGGAAGAGGAGGGUGGAAUACCCAGUGUAGAGGUGAAAUUCGUAGAUAUUGGGUGGAACACUAGUGGCGAAAGCGGCUCUCUGGUCCGGUUCUGACGCUGAGGCGCGAAAGCGUGGGGAGCAAACAGGAUUAGAUACCCGGGUAGUCC